UUUCCGUAGGUGAACCUGCGGAAGGAUCAUUCAUAAUAAGUGUUUUAUGGCACUUUUUAAAACAAUCUCCACCUGUUUUGCAAUGUCAGUGGUUCUCUUCUAUGGGAACGACAAAAUAACAACACUUUUUUUAUGUCUUUCUGUCAAAAAUAUUACAAAUAAAAUAAUUCAAAAUACAACUUUCAACAACGGAUCUCUUGGCUCUC
rnacentral:misc_RNA from 1 species